CCAUGUCACAUAUUCGUCACAGUGUCAUUCAAACACUGGACGGAAGUCUGAUAAGGGA
rnacentral:pre_miRNA from 1 species